UUUUAUCGCCAGGGGUGCUGACUUCGGUUAGCUGAGACAUACCCUUAGUACCUGCUCUGGAUAAUGCCAGCGAAGGAAGAGUGAAUUAUGUAUAGU
rnacentral:ncRNA from 2 species